ACUCAUAUCGAACAAUUUUAUUAUAUUGUAUUGCUCAAAAUCAAUUCGUUUAAAAAUCUUUACGCCGAAACGUCUGGACCCGCAUGAAAUUGUAGGUACGCAACAUAUACGGCUCGAUGUCUCGAUACGUUUUUCGAAACGCUCCUCGUUUUCGCGGCGAACAAUAUUCGGCGUUUUCGAAUAUGUGCAGCACUUAAAUCCUACGGGGGAGGGGGGGAGUAGAGUGGCUUUAAUUUUUAUGUAUAAUACGGUAUUUCGUUAAAAAGAUACAAAAUUAGGUCCGUCGAAAUUCAUCAAGCGAUCCGACGAAAGUGUCCGAAGAGAACUGCUUU